rnacentral:SRP_RNA from 1 species
GCCAAGUGUGGUGGUGGACACUUGUAAUCCCAGCUACUUGGGAGGCUGAGACAGGAGAAUCGUUUGAACCCAGGAGGCAGAGGCUGCAGUGAGCUGAGAUCGCGCCACUGCACUCCAGCCUGGGUGACAGAGUGAGACCCUGUCUCAA